rnacentral:rRNA from 1 species
UACGUAGGGACCGAGCGUUGUCCGGAUUCAUUGGGCGUAAAGAGCUCGUAGGCGGCCACUCAAGUCGAAUGUGAAACCUCGAGGCUUAACCUCGAGCCUGCAUUCGAUACUGGGCGGCUAGAGUCUGGUAGGGGGAUCUGGAAUUCCUGGUGUAGCGGUGAAAUGCGUAGAUAUCGAGAGGAACACCUGCGGCGAAGGCGGGUUGCUGGGCUGACACUGACGCUGACAGCGCGAAAGCUAGGGGAGCGAACGGG